CCUAUACAUGCAAGUCGAGCGGACCGAAGGGAGCUUGCUCCUUUAGGUUAGCGGCGGACGGGUGAGUAACACGUGGGCAACCUGCCCUGCAGACUGGGAUAACUUCGGGAAACCGGAGCUAAUACCGGAUAACACCGAAAACCGCAUGGUUUUCGGUUGAAAGGCGGCUUUUACUUGUCAUUGCAGGUGGGGCCCGCGCCCCAUUACCUAUUUGGUGAGGUAACGGCUCACCAAGGCAACAAUGCUUACCCAACCUGAAAGGUUGACCGGCCACACUGGAACUGAAACACGGCCCAAACUCCUACGGAAGGCACCAUUAGGAAAUCUUCCCCAAUGAACAAAGGUCUAACGAACCACCGCCCCUGGACCAAAAAAGGCUUUCGAAUCUAAAACUUCUGUUGUCAGGAAAAAACAAUUACCGUUCAAACAGGCCGGUACCUUAACGGUACCUGACAAGAAACCCCCGGUUAACUACGUGCCAGCACCCGCGUAAAUACGUAGUUGGCAGCGUUUAUCCGAAAUUAUGGGGCUUAGCGCGCGCGGGGCGCUUCCUUAAUUCUGAGGUGAAUCCUCGCGGCUCACCUCCACCCGCCGUUGGAAGCUUGGGACUUUGCUGCAGGAAAAGGGGGCGGAAAUCCUCCUGUUAGGGUAAAUCGGCUAAAACAUGGAAGAAAACCCAGUGUCAAGGGUGUUCUCUGCCUGGUACUUGACCGCAAGGCCGUAAGCCGUGGGAAGCAAACCGACUACAAUACCUGGUAAGUCCUACGCCGUAAACGAUGAUGGCUAGCUGUAGGAGGUAUUCCACCCUUAUGCUGCACUAACGCAUUAGGCAUCGACUGGGGAGUACGGUCGCAAGCUGACUCAAAGAUGACGGACCCGCCGAGCGGUGAACAUGGGUUAAUUCGAUGACUGGAAACUUAACAAGCUUGGACUCCGGUGAACCUGAAAGAUGGGCCGUCCCUUACGACAGCUACACGUGUCAGUCCGCUCUCUACAGAAUUGGAACCACAUAGGCAUCUGACUAUCGCCAUCUGACUACGUCUCGUAAAGAGAGUGGCGAUUCAA
rnacentral:rRNA from 1 species